UACAGAGGUCCCAAGCGUUGUUCGGAUUCACUGGGCGUAAAGGGUGCGUAGGCGGUCGGGUAAGUCUGAUGUGAAAUCUCACAGCUUAACUGUGAAACUGCAUUGGAUACUAUCCGGCUCGAGGAAUGGAGGGGAGACUGGAAUACUUGGUGUAGCAGUGAAAUGCGUAGAUAUCAAGUGGAACACCAGUGGCGAAGGCGAGUCUCUGGACAUUUCCUGACGCUGAUGCGCGAAAGCGUGGGGAGCGAUCCGG
rnacentral:rRNA from 1 species